rnacentral:rRNA from 1 species
UGGGGAAUAUUGCACAAUGGGCGCAAGCCUGAUGCAGCCAUGCCGCGUGUAUGAAGAAGGCUUUCGGGUUGUAAAGUACUUUCAGCGGGGAGGAAGGGAGUAAAGUUAAUACCUUUGCUCAUUGACGUUACCCGCAGAAGAAGCACCGGCUAACUCCGUGCCAGCAGCCGCGGUAAUACGGAGGGUGCAAGCGUUAAUCGGAAUUACUGGGCGUAAAGCGCACGCAGGCGGUUUGUUAAGUCAGAUGUGAAAUCCCCGGGCUCAACCUGGGAACUGCCUCUGAUACUGGCAAGCUUGAGUCUCGUAGAGGGGGGUAGAAUUCCAGGUGUAGCGGUGAAAAGCGUAGAGAUCUGGAGGAAUACCGGUGGCGAAGGCGGCCCCCUGGACGGAGACUGACGCUCCGGUGCGAAAGCGUGGGGGGCAAACAGG